rnacentral:lncRNA from 1 species
GCCACACACUGCGCAUGCUCUAGCCGCGGCGCCCCCGACUCCGCACUCGGCUGGGUUCGGGCAUUUCCGCCUCUUUGUUUUAAACUCUGCACGGCUUUUUUCUCCUCCUCUUGGGGGGGACCCAGAGGGAGCGGCGCCCCCUCCCCCUCCCGGCGAGCCCCCGCGUGCGCCCGCUCGCCCGCCGCCCGAGACGCAGACUUCACGAUGUAGCCCCGAUUCCAGACUGUCAUUUACAGAAAAUGGAAAAGGAACAAGGGGCAGAAGGAAGGUGCAGAAGCCAGCCAGAACUCAGAGUAAGGAGGGAUCAUCGCAUCCACUUGGUGGCCUGAAGCCUCCAUGCCACCGAGUGAGGAAGGACACGCAGACAUCCAGAGGAGAAGCCAAAGAUGUUGACCAGGAAGAUUAAACUCUGGGACAUAAAUGCCCACAUCACCUGCCGCCUGUGCAGCGGCUACCUCAUCGACGCAACCACAGUGACUGAGUGUUUGCACACAUGACACGUUCUGUGUGGAUCACCUGGAGGCAUGGCUGCUAU